GUGGAGGCCGGAGGGGGGUUAAAAAAAAAGCCAGAAUUCGGCAUGACAGUGCCGCUUUAAGUGGCUAGGUUUGCCACAGGCAGUGUGUGAAUAUGGCUAUUUGUGUAGCAUGGCAGUGAGAAUAUGGUAGUUUAUUUGCGUAGCAUGGCAGUGUGUGAAUGUGGCAGAUUGCGUAACAUGGAAUGUGUUAAUGUAGUAGUUUAUUUGCAUAACAUAGCAGUGUGUUUGUACAUUUGUCUUGUAAUCUGCCACCAUGCUCCAUCAGCACAAACAGUCUGAAGAUGGAAUACAUACAGUUCUUUACUGGUAGAAUGU